CAGGCCUCAUCAAUAAGAGUCUUCAUUGGAAUUUCCUUCGGACAUAUCCCUUUGUCGAAAACGAUGACAAACGGAGUCAGAUCCACUGCAGGUGGUACAUCUUGGACUCGCCCUAAUUGUCGGAGAACCCUCCUCGGAUUGUAUGCCAUGAUACCCUGGGUACCCCAUAGAGGAAUAAAUUCGGAUGCCUUGGUACGAAGAAUAGGUUUGGUACAAUUGGUCCAAUCCAAUACCCAUCUAACAUUUUGAUUGGUC
rnacentral:lncRNA from 1 species